rnacentral:rRNA from 1 species
CAUUGCCGAAACCGGACGGAAGAACGACCCGCGAACAGUCAYUGCGUACGAGAGGGGGCCGUGGGGGCACGGCGCUCGCGUGCCCCGCGUCGCGUCGGCGCGGGCGCACCGGCGUCUCGCGUCGUGCCGACGGAAAACUUUGUCAGCACGGAUCGUGCCAAGGAGCUGCACGGAGGGAAUCGUCGCCCCGCGCCUUCGGCCCCCCUCGGCGGGGGACGGGAGGCGGGGGACGCGCGCGAUCUCCGCUCGAGUCUGAACGACUCUCGGCAACGGAUAUCUCGGCUCUUGCAUCGAUGAAGAACGUAGCGAAAUGCGAUACUUGGUGUGAAUUGCAGAAUCCCGCGAACCAUCAAUUCUUUGAACGCAAGUUGCGCCCGAAGCCAAUCGGCCGAGGGCACGCCUGCCUGGGUGUCGUGAACCCCCCUGCCCCCGGGCACCCGCGUCGGUGCACGCGCAUCGACGGGGGAUCGCUCGGGGCGCAGAACGUGGUCUCCCGUGGGAUCGGCACGCGCGGCGUGUCGAGGCGCGGCUGGCCGAAAAUCGAGCGAGGAGGCGACGGGCACCACGGCGUUCGGUGGAUCGACCCGGAUUGGCUGCGUCGUGGUCCCGGCACGCGUCUAGCUCCGGGCUGUGGCGAUCCCGAGUGCGA